rnacentral:rRNA from 1 species
GAUGAACGCUGGCGGCGUGCCUGAUACAUGCAAGUCGAACGGAUCAGUCUGUCAAUGCAAAUUGAGGGGGCUGGUUAGUGGCGAACGGGUGAGUAACACGUAGGUAUCUACCCCGAGGUGGGGAAUAACUGUCCGAAAGGGCAGCUAAUUCCGCAUACGCUCCGGUAAGGAGGAAAGGGCGAAAGCUCGUCUUGGGAUGAGCCUGCGGCCGAUUAGCUAGUUGGUGGGGUAAAGGCCCACCAAGGCGACGAUCGGUAGCUGGUCUGAGAGGAUGAUCAGCCACACUGGAACUGCGACACGGUCCAGACUCCUACGGGAGGCAGCAGUAAGGAAUAUUGCACAAUGGGCGAAAGCCUGAUGCAGCAACGCCGCGUGAGUGAAGAAGGCCUUCGGGUCGUAAAACUCUUUUCUAGGGGAAGAGGAAGGACGGUACCCUAGGAACAAGUCUCGGCUAACUACGUG